GAUGAACGCUGGCGGCGUGCCUAAUACAUGCAAGUCGAGCGAACAGACGAGGAGCUUGCUCCUCUGACGUUAGCGGCGGACGGGUGAGUAACACGUGGAUAACCUACCUAUAAGACUGGGAUAACUUCGGGAAACCGGAGCUAAUACCGGAUAAUAUAUUGAACCGCAUGGUUCAAUAGUGAAAGACGGUUUUGCUGUCACUUAUAGAUGGAUCCGCGCCGCAUUAGCUAGUUGGUAAGGUAACGGCUUACCAAGGCAACGAUGCGUAGCCGACCUGAGAGGUGGAUCGGCCACACUGGAACUGAGCCACGGUCCAGACUCCUACGGGAGGCAGCAGUAGGGAAUCUUCCGCAAUGGGCGAAAGCCUGACGGAGCAACGCCGCGUGAGUGAUGAAGGUCUUCGGAUCGUAAAACUCUGUUAUUAGGGAAGAACAAAUGUGUAAGUAACUAUGCACGUCUUGACGGUACCUAAUCAGAAAGCCACGGCUAACUACGUG
rnacentral:rRNA from 1 species